rnacentral:rRNA from 1 species
AUUGAACGCUGGCGGCAGGCCUAACACAUGCAAGUCGAGCGAGCGGCGGACGGGUGAGUAAUGUAUGGGGACUGCCCGAUAGAGGGGGAUAACUACUGGAAACGGUAGCUAAUACCGCAUACUAUCGGAUAACCCAUAUGGGAUUAGCUAGUUGGUGGGGUAAAGGCUCACCAAGGCAACGCACCGUAGCUGGUUUGAGAGGACGACCAGCCACACGGGGACUGAGACACGUCCCAGACUCCCACGGAGGCAGCAGUGGGGAAUUUUUGACAAUGGGGGAAACCCUGAUCCAGCCAUACCGCGUGUAUGAUGAAGGCCUUCGGGUUGUAAAGUACUUUUGGCAGAGAAGCGGUAUCUGCAGAAUAAGCACCGGCUAACUACGUGCCAGCAGCCGCGGUAAUAC